rnacentral:rRNA from 1 species
AGAAUCAACGCUGGCGGCGUGCCUAACACAUGCAAGUCGAACGAGAAAGUGGAGCAAUCCAUGAGUAAAGUGGCGCACGGGUGAGUAACACGUGACUAACCUACCCUUGAGUGGGGGAUAACUGAGGGAAACCUUAGCUAAUACCGCAUAAUACCCACGGGUCAAAGGAGCAAUUCGCUCGAGGAGGGGGUCGCGGCCGAUUAGUUAGUUGGCGGGGUAAUGGCCCACAAGACGAUGAUCGGUA